rnacentral:rRNA from 1 species
UACGUAGGGGGCAAGCGUUGUCCGGAUUUAUUGGGCGUAAAGAGCGUGUAGGCGGCUAGGUAGGUCCGUUGUGAAAACUCGAGGCUCAACCUCGAGACGCCGGUGGAAACCAUCUAGCUAGAGUCCGGAAGAGGAGAGUGGAAUUCCUGGUGUAGCGGUGAAAUGCGCAGAUAUCAGGAAGAACACCCGUGGCGAAGGCGACUUCCUGGCCUGUUCUUGACGCUGAGGCGCGAAAGCUAGGGGAGCAAACGGG